ensembl:lncRNA
CAAAAAAGAAACCUUUUAAUCUCACUCCACUGAUCAGCUAAGAUACUUAAAUGUUUUAGUUGUGAGUAAAAUAAUAUGCAUUCUCAAAGAAAGUAUCUUCAGACUUCAGUGGCCGAGACUCUAGAGUUAGCAAUGGAAAAAUUAGUCUUGGGCUUCUGUUUCUGCCCACAGUUUUCAAAUUAAGAACGAUGCUUUUGCACUUAAUGAAACAACCUCUAUUGCUCUUCAAGAGGACUCAGGAUAUCAGUUCUCCAGGCCCCUGGCGGUCCCCUGACACCUACUCUAGGCAAAGAAUUAUGCUACAUCUUCUAAGUGCAAAUUGAACUGGAAAUCCCUUUUCAGUGUGAAAGCAGUAAACCUUUGUGCUCGUCUUUACAAAGUAAUAGCAGUUUGAAGUAAUUCUCUACAUUUUCGGCAUUGUUAUUACAUGGAUAAUUGCUUCUCACCCCCGUUGUCAAGUCUUAAGCUUUCUGGAGCAACGGACUAUGGGCUGAGGACUGAGGUUCCGGGAGCCACAGCAAGGCUAGCCGAUGCCAUCUUUCUGUCUCACUGCUGGAAGUUGAGAAUCACAGUGCUGAUCAUCAGAAACUUUCGAGCCUCCAGGAGGAGCCAAGGAGUUUUGAAGGCAUUUAAAACUUUGCAGUUUGUAUUCUGCUGCACCAGAGACAUCAUUGAAUCUUACAGCUGAUGCUACCUUCUUUCCCACACCUGGAUUCACCCAAAGUCCUGGAGAAUAGCACAUGGUGGAGAGAGACCCCUAACCAAUGUUCCCCUCUGAAAGAUAAGAGCAAGACACCUGGGGUAAGCUGGUGACUAAGGGGCCUCCACUCCUAGAUUCAUGUCCAUAUUCAUCCAUGGAGUGAGAAAAUCAGCCUGUAUGUUACCAGUAAAGAAGCUAGUCUGUAAGAAUGUAUUUAUUUAAGUAUAUAUAAAAAUACAUAGAGUAAAUUAUAACUCCCCUAAGCACAAUUUCAUUAUAUACCUUAAAAAAUACGUAUUUCAGAUGGCACUCACCUCACCACUAACAAAAAUGACAAUAUCAUUUAUCAUUCCAACCAUGGUACCUUUUUUUUUUUUUUGAGACAGAGUUUCGCUCUGUUGCCCACGCUGGAGUACAGUGGUGUGAUCUCGGCUCACUGCAACCUCCGCCUGCGGGGAAGCGAUUCUCCUGCUUCAGCCUCCCAGGUAACUGGGACUACAGGCACCCACCACCACUCCCAAAUAAUACUUUAUUUGAAUUUUCAGUAGAGAUGGUGUUUCACCGUGUUAGCCAGGAUGGUCUCAAACUCCUGACUUCAUGAUCCACCUGCCUUGGCCUCCCAAAGUGCUGAGAUUACAAGUGUGAGCCACCGUGCCCGACCCCAUGGUAUUUUGACUACAAAAUAAGACACUGAUAGUACAUGAAAAAGUGGUCUACUAUGGACCACUACCCUCAACGAAAAGAAACAAACUGUUGAUACAUUUGACAAACUAAGACUUUCUCCCCAAAACUAGGCUGUGUGGUCCCCUAAGUCUACCUGAUGGGGAAAAGAAAAGUGAGUUGGGAAUCAGGAAGGUAUUUUUUGGAGGGAGGUUUGUUUUAUGUUGGUUUGUGUUGCUGUUAUGAUUUGACCAUGAUUCCUCCAUAGAGUAACACACAGUCAGUUCUUGUUGUUUGUGGUAAUUAUGUUCUUGUUUUAGGUUGGUUUUUGUUGCUGUUAUGAUUUCACCGUGAUUCCUCCAUAGAGUAACACGCAGUCAGUUCUUGUUGUUUUUGGUAAUUAUGUUCUUUAAAGAACGUCAUUGCUGUGAGCCCUGAAUUAGCAAAUACUGAACCGUUGCUCCCACGGGAAACACAGAGGAUGUUCCUUCGAGCCUCUGGUCACACAUUGUCAUAAAACAAUCAAUACAUGACCUUGUUUUAUGUGUGUUUCUGUUAAAGGACACCUUGUUUAACAUACAUCAUUGAUUUAUUAACAUUGAAUUCAUGGCCAACAGCACUGUAACUAACGCUUGAACAAGGCUUAUCAAACACAUCUCUUUUCUUCAUACGGCACCUUGAAGCCUUCUUGCACUUAGGAAUACUAUAUGGCACUAUAUCACUGGAGUGAAAGCAGCAGCAAAAAGCACAAAAUGAGAAAAAUGUGGCACUAAAUAGACCACACACCAAAAGGACAGUUGUGUACAGUAUGAGAUAUAAAACAGGAGCAAGGCAGAAUGUCGCUUUGUUGAACCUCAUCUGGGAACAUGCACUUUGGGUGACAGUUUUUUUGCUGCUCUCCACAUGUCUGUGAAGGGACAUGAAAUGACUGUGGCUAUUGAUUUGGGAGUUACAGGUAAUUUUAGGGAGUAGGCAGGUCUGUAAACAUGAAAUCCAUAAGUAAUGAGGACUGACUGUAGAUUCUUGUCCUUAAUUCUGAGGUGUACUUUUAUUUAAAGCUUGGCUCACCAAGUAGAUUUCGAGAGGUCUCUAAGAGUGGAUCUAAAAUGGAGAAUAAAUGACCUCAGGAAAUAUAGAUAAAAUAUGUC